AGCACAAUAGACUCUGGUGGUGUGAGGUGCCGCUGCCCACGGUGGGUAUUUGGGGACAGCUCCCUUUCCCUGAGGGGGGAACACUAACGGGGGCUUCUCAUCUCACUGCGCAGGUGAAGCAGCCACCAAAAUCUGGCCGGGCAGGAGCCGGGGCUGGGGAGGCUCUUCUUGUGAGGGGAGGAGGCCGGGGUCUCCUGGGCGGGAGAGGGGCGGCUGGGGGUGACCGUGCAGGGCAACAAAGCCCUGCUGACCCCAACAGCAGACUACGAAAAAAAUCUUGUUCUUGCAUCCCAAGGGACCGGGAUUAGAGCAGACUGAUCGCAGCUCUCGAUCCUGUCCAGCCCACCAUGGUUCCUGUGACAUGCUUUGCACUCUUCGUCAUAGGCAUUGCAAUUGUAGCCAUAGCAAUGAGUCAGAACAUGGAUGUCUCUGUGAAUGCCAAUGUGGCAUUUGUUGCUCCUGCACGUGUUUAUCGUGGGAGGAGAAACUCGGCCUGCCCCCAGGCUGCUGCUGUUGCCUUGAGGAUCAGAGGAACAACUCCUGAAUAACAUGGCAAAUGAGCAGAAAUGGAUUUCCUUCCUUCCAAGUAGCCUGCUUCAUGUCUUCCCACAGCAUUAACUGGGAAGCCCCCACUGACCAGCAGCUGUCCCUUUAACAGACUUGUACCGUCUUGAGCAAUAAAUACUUCAGAAAGCCUGAAUAAAAGUGCA
rnacentral:lncRNA from 1 species